GAUCCUGGAAAACAAAAGCCAAGAGUGUUCUGAGAGCAACUGCUGUUCUGAACUUUGUAAUACAAACCUCCCCAGAAGUACAGGAGCACAAAGGUCCCACUACCUGGUCUGGGUAGCUUGGUGAGACAAAUAGGAAGAACAAAACAUAAACCCUAUCUCAAUAAAUCAUCCUGUCACGGCAUGUGCCUUUUCACUUCCUUCUUGAAAAAGAGAACCAGCAACACAGCCACAAUGAGUCUUGCUCUUCCACGUCCAAAAUACAGAUUUCAAGUCCAGCUGCUGCUCUUGAAAAGCUACAUGAACCUACUAAAGAGAUUUGGAGCAAUGUCUUGGGAGGAACUGGGAAUUCUUAAUUAGAGAACAGUAGCUGGAAGGCUACCCUGAAGAAGAGGGGUUAUGGAGCAUUAUGAGGAAAAAUAGUCUGAGUAGGCAGAGUGACAAGAUGUCAGAUCUAUGACGCAUAAGCUGAGGGAAACUUCUAGAAGAAAGCAGGUGGAAUGGUAUGGGCUGCCUUAGAGGUCAUUAGUUUUCCUUAAAAUAGGGAUAUUAAAACAGAGACUGAAAGAUGUGUUUGUCAUUGUGUUGUAAAGGGGAUAUUUAAAUAUAAUUUGGGGUGCUUGAUCUUUAAGGAGACCUUUUACCCUGGUUUUUCUGUGUAAGGGUAAUCAGCUGUGCUUAUGUGGGUUGUGCUAAAUUGAUCUUAGUUAUCCCAACAUAGCAAAUACCAAAGAAGCUAAACUAUUCAUCUUCAUAAACUCUGUCUCUCUCUCUCUCUCUCCCUGUAUAUACGUUAUCCUUGUCCUGAGAGAAGCUUAGACUUCUACAUAUCUGUGUCUUUGAGUGACUAAGAGGAACCCCCUAGAAAAGAGUCUUGGAAAUGCAGACCAGGCUGGCCUCAAGGUAAAUCUGAGUUCUGGCAGACUGAUAAGCUGCUAAGCACAACCAAGAAAGCCUGAAAGAUCACAACAGGCUCUGGCAAGAGGGCCUUGUCUAAUCUAGGGGUCAAUGAAGGGGAGAAAUUGGAGGACAUUUCUUUCUUUCUGUGAUCUGAAGACUUCACAGCAGACACUUCUUGUCAUGGAUAGAACUAUAGACUGUCACUGCCCAGGAGGGGGCUGAGAAGAUGGUCUACUUCUAAAGUCUUCAUGUCCCAGGUAGUGAAAAGGAGAGGCAGAAAGGGCAGUGAACUUGCAUGAGAUCAAAACAAAAUUAGCAAUUCAACCUAGAACAGAACCUUCACUGAAGUCUUAUUAUACCUUCUACUCCUUGGCACAGAGUAAACUAGGGAGGCCAUGCUUCCCUGCAGGAGUAUCUUCCCAAGGUCAUCAGUGUCAUGCCAAAAUUUGAGAAAAUAAUAAGUUUUGAAUAGUUUGCAAGUCUAGGCUGAAAAGGGAGGGAUUUUUUUUUCCUCUGCUGCUUUGUAUUCAAUGCAGCCAGUAUUUCUCAUUACCUACUUAACACUAGUGCUACUCAAUUGUGCAUAUGAAUAACCUGGGGAUCUGGUUAAAUUGCAGAUUCUGAAGCUCUGGGGUAGGGCCCAUGAUUCAGCAUUUUUUAACAAGCUCUCAAGGGCUGCUAUGGCUUUUCCUUGGCUUGCUGACAUGGUGGGGCUGCAAGCAGAGCCCAGCCUCAGCCUUCAGACACUCCUAGGACUGGAGGCACCCCCUUUUGCCUCUCAAUGAUCUGCACCUGGUGGGCUCACCUGAGGGCCUCACAGAUCUCCUGUGAACUCAAUAUAAGGGAAAAUGGCGCAGGGUAGGCGUUUCCAGACUGAUUCCCAUUCUGUGUAGGGAAAGCUGCUGAGGCCAGAGUUUGGUAACGAAUCCUGUUUUGGUGGAAAUUCCAGAGGCUCUUCCAAAGGAUAGAAGAAGUCAAGUGGCGAAUAGAGUCCUUUCAUUGUAAAUUCGUUUUCUCCUGACUCACCCACUCCUGGGACAAACCUAUGGGGAGUGGAACAGAGGGAAGAAAUUUCCUGCUUUCCUGAAGCCAGAAGAGUGAGUGAAACAGGCCUGAAUGUUAAGGUCUACUUUAGUCUUUUUCCUGAGAGGAGGACUUUUCUCCCAGAUUGGGGGCCAUGACAAUGGGGGAUAAUUUAAGAAGGCUAUUACCAAGGCAGAGGAACAAUUUACUCUUGUUCAAGUUCUCUGAGAUGCGCGGAAAGGAAGCGGCAGAAUACAAAUGUCUCUUGGGGUCAGGGUGAGCCGGAGCCUUGUUCCAGCGGCAGCAUUUACGAGCUAACAAUACUCCAACCUCAGGAGAGACGCCAUGGGCUACUGGAUUAACCCAGAAACUGGCCAGACCCUGUGGCUAAGGAACCUGAGUACGCGGGAGAAAGAAUUUACCAAGUUGGGGAGGCAUAUGUGAAGCCAUUUGCAGUCCUAGCUGGCUGAGCAGAGCUGCUCCUAAGCUCCAUUUGUACUUUUAGGUUUGUUUUUGCAGUAUGCUGGAUAUGUUUAGCUGUAUAGACGAAUUUGCGAUUUCAAUACCUCAUAUAUAGGUCAAGGGGUCUGGCACCUGGCAGGAACUCAAUGAAUAUUAGCUGGUUCUGAUUCUUUGGUUCUUGCCGCCCAUUUGUGCCCUUGUGUCCCGCUGUUCCAAACAGCUCUGUUCCAAAGGCCAUUCAUGGAAGCCAGCAUGUUCCAAACCGAGCAUGUUGUUGUCUUGCUUCUCUUUCCAGGGCUUCCUGGUAUCCAUCAUCUCCCAUCCCUACUGCCUUGUCCAGUUUAGGCCCUCAUUAUGCUCUGUCUGCAUGGUCACAAUAGCCUCCUAACUGGUUUCUCUGCCUAUGGUGUUCUUCUGCUGUCAGUUCAUCAAGGACCAGUGCUUCCAGGGAGUUUUGUAAAUCAACUCCAAUCAAGACCUUCCCGUUCUUCAAAAUCUUCAGGUCACUGUGCCCAGAGGAUUCCAUUGUCAUUCCUUGGCUGGGCAUUUAGUGGGUUCUGUGGGCUGUACAUCCCCUCCCCCUCGCCCCCCACCUCCCUUUCCACAUGUAGCUCCUGCCAUUUCCCAUGAGUGCCCUCUGUUUUGCCAAAAUAGAGGCUGGAAUCCAGAUCCUCAUCACUGCCUUUCUAGUUUAAGUCACUAUUUUUUGCCCUUUAAGACAAUUUCAAACACAAGCUCCACAUCACUAAGAAAACAGAAUAGAAAGCAUGGGGGUUGGCAUUUUCUGGGGUAACCGCAUUUCCUGUAUCAUUAAAAUUUUUUUUCCUUGACCCACCCUGAAAUCACAAAUAACUCUCCUGGAUUUUGUUAAAACUAUUUCCAAAUGUUUGUUUCUACUCUUAGUAAUUGCUAAGAUGAAGAAGAGAAAGUGUAAUUAGGGUAACAUUCUGAAAUUCACUAGUCACUGAAGACUAUAGGCUAAAGAAAAAAAGUUGAGCCAAUUAAGUUCAAAGUGACCUGACCACCUUGAAAGUUUCUUUUUAGAUCAGUUACUCAGGGUGGUAACUUUUUUUCCCCCAGUUUGGCUCCCUUUCUGAUUAAAAGAGUCACUUUUACGACUUGGUGCCUACAAGGCACAGGAAUCCCUGAGUGUGUACAGCCAGCACCCACGUUUGUGGAAGAGUUAGAAGGAGAGAAUUUCUGAGCUAAUACUUUAAAACAAAAAGAAAAGACACAACUGCAUUCAUGCUUGAACACUAAAGGUCAAUUGUUGCAAAACCAAAACCCCACAAAAGACAGGAGGUGCUCACAAACAUGCAAUCCACCCCCAGAAAUGCCCUCCCAUGGACACUUUUUAUUAUUUGUUGUGCUUCUGUGAUUUUUGUCAAGGUGAACCGGAGCUGAACAGCGGUGAAAGUGGUAAAAACAGAUUUACUCAGGAAGUAUUGCAAUAGGGGAAUAGAGACCUCAAUACAGAACUGGGCUCAAUUCCAAAUAUAACAUGAACAAGAAGGGAUUUAGAACCAAGGAGCAGGCUGGGGGUCAGUGGAUGGGAAAUUGCUAAUGGGGAGUUUCUAGUGGAGCCAACAUCCCAGGAGUCUUGCUGAAGGUGGGCCAGAGUGAUGGGGUAUCCUGGGGAUGGGGAGGGAUGAGGAAUUUGGUCAGAUUAUCAAUUCCCUUCUGACAGUAGGGGAUUCUUGCAUUCAAAAACAAGGCCCAACAAGGAAGCCUCAUCAAAACUUGUUUUGAGAAGGCUGAUGUUUGGUUAAGGAGAGAAUCUCUGUUAGCUUCUUGUCGUUUUCAUCUGCAGCAUUUCUGAUGACCUCUCUUCCAAAAUGUCUCUGCCCUUAAGAUUUUUUAAACAAUCAUCCCACUUUGUGUGUGUGUGUGUGUGUGUGUGUGUGUGUGUGUGUGUAUUUUUUCUAUUGCUUGAGGAUUUUGACUAUUUAGGAUCAGAGGACUUGAGAUUCUCCUUUAUUGGCCAAAGAAUAUUGGAGCCAAAAUAAUCAAAGUUUAUUCACUUCUACUUUGAAAAUUCUCCUGUCUAUAUUGUAGUCAAGAUUUUCAAAAUAAGAUCUAUUGCUUCUUUACCAUCUGCAGUUUAUGGCAAGACAACAACUUUCUCCCUGAAUAUUUCCUGGUUGGGACCUCUUGAGGAUGAAGGUGAGGUCUUGGGAGAAGAAUGAAAUGACAGCAAAGACUGAGAUACAAUGCUAUGUUUAAGCAAACCAAAUAUAUACCAAUAAAUGGGGCACCUGGGUGGCUCAGUCGGUUAAG